ensembl:lncRNA RBMS3-AS2 RBMS3 antisense RNA 2
GUGGCACCAUCUCAGCUCAUUGCAACCUCCGCCUCCCCGGUUCAAGCGAUUCUCCUGCCUCAGCCUCCCGAGUAGCUGGGAUUACAGGCACCCGCCACCAUGCCCACAGGAAGGAGAAUCCAGUCAUGGAAUAUUAUGGUGGUAAUUGCUUCCAACUGGAACCAGUUAUCAAAAUGUGGCAGGAAAAUCUGGCCUGGUGAAGAAAGAGAAGGUGGCGAAGCUGACUCAGUUCAAGUUCAAGAUCUGCUAUUAAUGUGCUGUCACUGAACACAAAUCAUUACAUUUCCCUGAGCUUCAGUUUUGUUUUUCAAAUUGGAAUAAUUGGAUAAUUAGAUCUCUAAAGCAUACAUCAUCAGUAGAAAAUGAGCAACUUCUCAUUUGGCCUAACACUUUGAGUGGGAAAAUAAACUCAUUUAUGUAUAGUGAUAUUCUACUACUCCCUUAUAGAGUAAACAGUUACGUAAAUGCAAGUCAUUUUGAUUUUUCACAGAAUAGGAUCCCUUUAAAAUAGAUCUAUAUCAAGUCUCAUCCACAAUUAUUUUCUCACAGCUCUGUAUUAUUUGACUGACACACUUUGAAAACAUAGUUUCCAGAGAUCUCACAUAUUUAUUUUAUAUUUAUCUCUUUAACAAGCUAGAAUUUAUACUGAUAUAUGAGAUAAGGCUAUUAGCAAAUUUAAUUUAAUUUUUCUACAGUUUUCAACCAGUUGUUCCCGUGCUAAAUAGUCCAUCCUUCUCCCAUUGAUUUAUUGUAUCAACUUAAUAAAUUUUUAUUUUAUUUUUGUUUCAUAAUAUGUAUACAUUGUGGAAUGGCUAAACAAAGCUAAUUAAUAUAUGCAUUGCCUCACAUAUUUAUCAUUUUGUGGUGAGAACAUUUCAAAUCUACUCUUCCAGCAAUUUUCAAGUAUAUAAUAAAUUG